AAAAGAUGGAUCCGAUGGAUCCAAUGGAUAAGUAUUUAGCUAUUAGCUAUAGCUAAAUACUUAUCCAUUGGAUCCAUCGGAUCCAUCUUU
rnacentral:miRNA from 1 species